UUGUAAUUGAUGUCAAUAGAAAUCAGUCUUCUAUAUUUCUUUAUGGUAAUUACAUGUAAUAGAAGAAUGAAUUAGAUUAUUUAACGCGUUUCUGCCUUGGCCUAAAAAAUAUGGAGGUUACCGGUACUGAACUGCAAAAUUUAGCUGUCGUUCAUGUAUGGGACAUUGGAAACACAGACGCACCCCUCAAGGUGACAGUUCAAACGGUUGAUGAUGAAGUAAAAGUAGAUAGUAUCCUGAAGAAAAUUUGUGAAAUCAAAGGUUUAAGGGAAAAAUAUAAGAAAUAUUUUUGUAUUAUCUCUGGUGGUGAUCAGCCUGUGAAGAAAUAUAAGCCAGCUGAUUGGCUCAUUUUACCUAUUAAAGGUCUUUGCUUCCAAAAAUGGUGUUUUAACCUGAAAACAGAGAAGAAGUUAGUAGCUGACCCAGUAGUUGCUGAACUUUUCUUUUUACAAGCGAAACAUGAUAUAGCUUCAGGUAAACUUAAACCCACAGCAGAACAUAUUCAGAAUUUAGAAGAAUGUUUACAUCCAGAGUUUCUGGCUAUCGAUCAGUAUUUAUCUAUUUGUCAGACAUUGCCAGAUUAUUGUACAGUAACAGUAGAUUCCUGUCAGAUAGUACCAGACAAGCGUGUUAAAACAACGCUAUUACCCUCUGAUAGUUUAUAUAGUGUUAAUUUAUCAAUAAAUGGUUUAAAAAUUAGUUCAGAAACAGGUGAUGUCACAUUGUCUGCUCAAUGGUAUGAAAUAUAUAGCUGGGAGUUGAACUCGGAGGAGAGAACACUAACUUUUUAUUUACAUUUAAAACUGAACAAUGCAAAGAGUAUUCUCCCUUUUAAAUCAGAGCAGUGUGACUAUAUGGCCUCUGUUAUUAUGGAACUGAUCACUGAUCUUCAGGCUGAAGACAAGAAUGCUCCAUCAUUUCAUAUUUCUAACAUUAAACAACUAAAAGAUGGCAGCACUUUAUGGGAGAAUGUUUUAUUCGAUCAUGACAAGGUCAAAUAACCCAGUAUUAUAUUUGAAAUAUAUGGGAUUCUAUGGAGCAGAAUUCACGACAUAAUUCUAACUUUUUACCUAUCUGUACUAAUAUGCUUACCCUUUUACAUGAUCUGAUAUUUGUGUUUGUUGUUUGUGAUGUCUGUGUAUAUUGUUCCUGUCCUUAGGUUUGUCUUGUGUAAUAGUUGUGUGUGGUGCAGUCUUCUGCAUUUACUAUUAUAUAGUAAAUUUGCUAUUUACACAUGUAAAAAUACUAAUUACUAAUUACUUACUAACCAGCGGGAUACCUGGUUUCAUCUGGCGCCCCGAUUCACAUGGUGCUCAAAUUCACCAGGGGCCCAAUUUGCCUGGGGCUCAAAUUAGCUUGAGACCCAAGUUUGUCCGGGGCUCAAAUUUGUCCAGGGUCCAAAUUUGUCUGGGACAUAAAUUCAUCGGGGGCCCAAAUUCAAUGGCCUGAAACAUUCAUGGCGCCAUGCUGCUUAAUUUUAUACCACAUAUGGGGGGGGGGGGAGAGUGGCCGCGGAAUGUAAUUCCCCCGUGGCCCAUGUCCAGUUUCCCCAGGGCCCAAAUUCAAUGGCCUAAAAUAUUCACAGGUUAAUUUAAUACCACAUAUGUGGGGGUUGAUCGCGGCAACGAAACGUGAUCGGCGAACAUGAUAUUAUUUAUAUAGAUUUCUUAAAUAUUGUACAUAGAAUUUGUAUUUUGCUCUAUUGGCAUUAAUACUUUUACUAGAUUAACAGUUAGAAUUGUGUCAAGAAUUCCACUCCAUAGGAAUAAGGCCCGUGUUGAAAUCAAACGACAGCUAUUGUUCUUUCUUGUUUUUUGUAAUAAAGAAGCUAAUAUUAAAAGAUAUAAUAAGAAUCUGAAAUACUACAUCUACUGCUGAAUUUUAUUUUAUACUACAUGUAUCUCUAUGUUUUUUGUAUUUUAUGAAUUUUUAUUUUAUGCCAAGCAGAAUCUCUAUUUUAUAGAGUUGGUUAAUUUUUUAUAUUUAUAUGAUUGUGAUAAUUCUCAGAAACUCUAAUAAUUAUUUUGUUAAGUAAAAUAACUUUAUUGGCAGAAAAGUUUAACUCAGAAACUCUGAUUAUAUAAUUAUUUUGUUGAGAAAAAUUACUUUAUUGGCGGAAAAAUUUAACCCAGCACUGGAAAACAUUUAUUUUCUCGUGACUUGAUAAAUAAAAUACCUAAUGUAUAGCCCAGUGGUUCUCAACCUUUUUUUGCCAACGGCACACCUUAGAACACGUGAAAAACUAUAGCGGCACACCUGGCUAAAUAUAUAUGAAAAAUAUCUGAAUUUUGCAAAAUAAAAACAUGGUAAGUCAGACGGAAUACAACCGUAGACACAGACUAGUCAUAGACACAUAGAGUAACUCAAACUAAAUAAAGAAAACCACAGCUAUCAACCUACUAUUAAACACCAGUGAAUACUCAUUUGGGAUCACAUGGUUUUUCGCAUUUUCUUAGUGCGUCGUUCUAAAUUGCGCGGCACACUUAGGAAGGUCUCGCGACACACCUGUGUGCCGCAGCACACUGGUUGAGAAUCACUGGUAUAGCCAAUAAUAUAUACUGUUUAAACAGCAUUAAAGAAUGGAACACAAGUUAAACACAAGAUCCAUUAUUCAGAAAGAGAAAAGAUCUUUUGUUAUCAGAUACGUAGUCCACACAGGUUUCUGAGAAUGUAUAUAGUGAGGAUUUAUUAAAGUUACAAUUUCAUAUUUUCUAAGAAAGUCAAAACAUAAUUAUUUCUAUGUCUUUUGCUCAAUAGGUUGUCAACUCACUAUUAUACAAUCAUAGGUGUCAUUCUCACACUUAAAACUCAUUUACACUGGAAAUAAUAACACAAUUACCUCCGAAUUACCUCCCUUGUUUUCUAUUCUCCACCAUGGAGUAGCUUUUUUCAAACGUUUGAAUUUGAAGAGGAAAAUGAUAUUUUUGCCAAUUUCUCAACUGGCAAUAGUGAAUUAUAGGAUUAAUAGGAUUAUUCUUUAACAAGGUAGGACUGUUUAUAGAUACCAUCUAUUUUAAGGCUUUAUUUUAAUAAAUUUUAAAAAUAUAACGUAAAAAUAUGAAAUUGCAACUUUAAGGUAUUCUCAAAAUGGCGAAAGUUUUUUUUGUGUUCUUGGUUUAUUUAACACUUUAUGUAUAUUGUUUAUAAAGUUUUAACAUAUUAUUUAAUGAUAUUGUGAAACAUUGUACUAAAAAUUUUAUAUAAAAUAUCCUGGAUAUACAAGUUUAUAUAUUUUAAUUACUUACAUAGUAUAUAGAUAGAUAUAUUUAGAAUAGACAUAGAUAUAUAUAUUUGUACAUAUGCUUACCAGUAAUACUAUUUUCAUUGUUAAUUGUUAUAAAUUCUAUUUUUUGCAUAUUCUCUUGUCUUGAUUUUAUGUAGUUUGCUAUUUUGAAACUUUUAAUAUUCAUCGAGGUCCCUUUUAAGUUAUUAGAAUUUGAUUUUUGUCAUGUUUUCGAGUCUUAUUUAUAAAUUAAAUUUGACAUUAUAUGUCAAACUAUUUAUACAUGAAUUUUAUAAGCUAGUUUUAACACCAUAUCAGUGUUCAUUUUGUGAGGGGUUUUUUUGACAAAAGCUCCUGCACUCUCUUUGGGGGGUUUUCAUGUAUUCAUUUUUUUUUUUUAAAAUUUAAUUGACAUAUUAUGUCAAAUCGUUUUUUUACACAUGGCUGAAUUGUACAUAAGCCAUUUUAGAAGUUUGCACACCAUAUAAUUUUUAAUUUUUUAAAACAAAGUUCCUGCACUUCCCAUACCCUAUAAAAAAAUUGGUUUUGGUAAUGUAUUCUUUUUUUUUUUAAAUUUUUU